ACCGAGGGCCGUGACUGGCGCGCUGGGAUGGGACCGACCAUCGGGGAGCGGCCUGGAACGACAAGUGCCGUGCGCCUGGGCCGAACCU
rnacentral:ncRNA from 1 species